UACGUAGGCAGCGAGCGUUGUUCGGAGUUACUGGGCGUAAAGGGUGUGUAGGCGGUUCUCUAAGUUUGGUGUGAAAUCUCCCGGCUCAACCGGGAGGGUGCGCCGAAAACUGGAGGGCUAGAGUGCGGGAAGGGAGAGUAGAAUUCCUGGUGUAGCGGUGAAAUGCGUAGAUAUCAGGUGGAAUACCGGUGGCGAAGGCGGCCAAUUGGCCCAACACUGACGCUGAGAUACGAAAGCGUGGGGAUCAAACAGG
rnacentral:rRNA from 1 species